CGCCUCGAACCGCUGCGUAAAGGCGGAGCUAAGCUGAAACACAGAACCAUAGGCGGAGACGGGAGCGCAUACGCACGGCUGUAUCUCUGGCUCUGAUUGGUCUAUUUUGACACACAAUGGCUCGUUUGAAAGCUGAAAGUGUCUACAAUUGGACGAAACGGCUGUCAGUCAAAGUCAAUGGAGCUUUUCGAAUUUCCCGCUGUGUUUUUUUCGACGCUGAAUAAAUUAUGUGCGCUUUUCUAACGCUAAGUCCUAACGCUCUGAGUCUGAUUACAAAAAAACAAAGCGCACUGGAUUAUAAUACUCUGAUGGAUUUUGAAGAGGACAUCUGUGGCUAAAUGGAAAGCUGUAUACUACUUUUAUUUCUCAACCCUGAUGGAUUAAAUUUCGAUGGGGAAGUUCAGGAUUUAAAUGCUCCAGGGAAAAAUAGCGUUUUUUUCAUCUUGGCCAACCCACUCGUUAGGACUCCCCCUAUCACUAGUAAUGCCCCAACACACCAGGAGGAUGAAGACUAGCACACUCUUUCUCCGAUACAUGUGAAGUCAGUCACCGCUUCUUUUCGAGCUGCUGCUGAUGCAGCAUUGCCAAGGAGCCAGCACAUUUGGAGGAAAGCGCAGCGGCAGGUGAAGUGCGUAAUAUGGACAGUGUGCACUUUGCACUUGUGCAACUUUUUUUUAAAAACAGUUUGAUUUGUUUCUGCUAUAUUUUGAUUCAUAGCUUUAUAUAAAAUGAAAAUAACUUAUAACUAUAUUAUUUUCUUUAGCCCGAGGUACCUGAGGAAAGUGGUGGGAAAUCUCGAGCCAGUGACAUGUUGAACUACACUGCCAGUUUGAGGGAAUGUCAUUGCCAUCCACUGCAAAGGAGGCAAAGGGCGCACGGGUACGAUGGUGUGUACAUGGUUGAUUGACAGCGUUUAGUUUGAGAGUGCGCAGGUGUGGGAAAGGGCAAUGGCAGUGAUCUGAAGGUGCGGAUCAUAGUGAAAAGAGAGCAGGUGUUCCAGUGUGUCUGUGCCACGCAGACGAACUGUAGGCUGUUCCCAGAUACUGAAAACAAUGCCGUGGUGAUCAGCUUUCAGGAAGGGCCAGUGGUUUGUGGUGAUGUUAAGGUCAUGUUUGAAUCCAGGGCUGGUCUUCCAAAGGGGUAUGAGGACUAUCCUUUCUAUUUCUGGUUCAACACUUCAUUUGUAGAGAACAACAGGCUCUAUCUGUCAAGGGAGGAACUGGACAACCCACGUAAGUCCAAAACCUGGGACAUCUACAAGGAGGACUUUGGUGUGACCGUGUCUUUCAGUGACCCUGCACUUAUGUAGCAGACGACACUUGCUUGUGUAUCUCAACUAAAACCCUUAAGCCCUGCACAAGGUCUAAAUCUUUGCUCUAAUGUAGGUUUUCACACACUUAUAAAAGGUGAGUGAUGUUUAGGGAUUGGAUUCGGGUAUAUUGUGCCCCUAAAGCUAUAGCUAUAGCUAUAUAACCUCAACUUUAUGUCCAUCCCCCAUCUUCACUGUAAGAGCUUUUUACUGAGCCGUGCAUACACCACAAUAUUAUGCAUUUGUUUGUCAAAUGUUUUUUUGUCUUUAAAUGAAGACAAAUGUUUGUGUCAGUUUAGCAUAUUAAGCCUCCAAAAUGUAAAUCUUACUCUUUAAGCUUGAGUGUACAUCAAAUAAAGCAAUAGAGGCUGCCACUGUGAAAUGGUCAAUGGUUAUGUGUGCAGAAACAUGUUUUUGUAGUACACAUGUAUUGAAAUAAAUACUAAUGUCUCUGUAA